UGGUAAAGUCUGAUCAUGAUAUCUGGGAAGUCCUGGCCCAAUACUCAACAUGAUUUGACCCAAGUGACUAAGUAGGACUGAGAUGAAAAACCCCUUAGUUAAGACGGUUAAUUUCAUUCUCACAUGCAAAGAAAACUGAGAGCAGCCAACAAUGGGAUCAGAGAAUCAAUGACAAAAAGAAAAUGGAGUCGCAGGUGUCCAUCUCCUUCCUGAGGUGGGAUUCAAACUCUGUGACCAAGACAUUAAGGCUCUGGAUCUCCUCUUCUUUGGAUGCCAUUUUUUCACAUGUUCCAGUUUAGCUUCUUCCUUCAGCUGAAAAGCUUGCUCCUGAUACUCAGCAUGGUGUCGGAUUCGCUCUUUAUUGAGUUCAGAUUCGAGCUGGAAAGUAGAGUUCAGCACACAUACACACAGAGAGAUGCUCAUUUUUAUAGCCAAACAAGGACAUGGAAAUUAUUUCUACAAAUAAUACUUACACGAAUUUCAUUGCCUAUUGAACAGUGAAAAGAAAAACGACAUCAUGGAAUGUGAAAGUGGGAGCCCAAGAGGAAUAACCAAGGCAGGAUCUUUGGACCAAAGAGGACUUAGAAUUCUGCAGAUGGCUGAUACGGACAGAGUCCUGUACCAUAGAUGCUUGUACAGACUCAAAGCCAGGGCAAGAAUGCACAGGGCUCAAGCCAGGAGACCAUAAACAGACUCUGUGAUAGACCAGACCCCUAUGGAAGCACUGAAAGCUCUCGGAUCCCUAGGCUGUUUUUGAGAUCCUAGAAUAGCAUAACAUUCAAUACUCCAAGAAAGCAGCACCAGAACCAGCCCAGACCUUCCCUCCAGAAUAAACUGUUUUUACAAAUAAAGUCAAUGGGAGCCAUGUGUAGAAAGAAUUAGAAUGGAAAAAGUUUGUUCCAGAAAUGUACUAUUGGGUCACUUUCAAAAUGGUGAGAAAAAAUUAAAUGCUGAAAGAUAAAACCUAUAUUAUAUACUUUAUUGUUAUGCAAGGCACAGUGACUCAGGAAGUAGAUGGCAAUGUUAUAUUAACAGCUACUCUCUUUCUUAGGAAAGUUUCAGAGCCCUUAGAGUCUCAUUUCCAUGGAUGACAUUAUCGACGCUUAGUUCUAGUGGUCUAGGUUUUAGUCUGAUGCAUCAACCUAAAUGAUGAUCAACCAAUCAAGAGCCCUGGCCCACAGUAAAGUUAUUUGCCACCUUUAAUCUAGAAAAUAGGGAUUCUUUAACUGCCAAUGUGACUUCACAAUGUAAAUAAAAUACUGGAAAGGCUCUCGAAUUGAUGGUAAUGUUAGGAGAAUUCAAUUUUCUGUGUAUCUUUUGCUGUUGCCAAUUUAUCUAAUCACCCUCACUUAGCACACACAUUCACACAACGCCUAUACAUGGAUAAUACUAGACCAAGUGUGAAAGAGAUAGUUCUAUAAGCUUGAAGGCAAGGUGAAGGGCAUUUCCAAAAUCAUUUUUUGGAUCAAAAGCAUCUGGAAACAUUGUUGAGCCAUGAAACAACACCUGGAAACGUAAACAAUCAUACCUCUUCACCAAAACAGACAGCCAAGUUCACUGUUAAACAUUCUGAUAAUCACCAUUAUCUAUUAACUAACACUUAAAGAAACAGAGAAUGGGAAUGUGAAGAAUAGAAGGAUGACGGUUCUUGAAUAAAUCCUUCUGUCCACUCCCCUCUGUCCAGUCUUUUAACUUCUAGACUUGGACUGGUAAAGAUAUGGGGAGGGGAACGAGUAGAGGAGAGCCAUUCUAACUGACCUGGGAGCAGCUUUCCUAGGAAAUAAGAGGAAAUAUGGGGGCUACAGAAGAAGUUAACAGGAAACCCUAUGCAUGAAUGACAUCAUUGUGACAAAAUACUUCUCAAGUUAAGUUCAAUUCAACAAACAUUUAUUAAGCAUUUAGCCCCUGUCUUCCAAUUUCUCAUCUGUGUAAGAGUGCUAAAAUGACUAUUUUGAGAAGCAUCAUUCACCUUAACUUGUCACUUCACUAUAAAGAGUUAAACCAAUUGUUGAUGUAGAGGAUAACCUGAUUUUAUUUACUGGCAGCAGAGGAAAGAAUAGGUGUUCAUGUAGACUAACUUAGGUAACGUACUCCAUGCUGAGCACCGUGACUUACAAGUUACCUGCUAUAAUGACUAUGAUUUGUUUACAUAAGCAGAAUACACAUCCUUGAAAGCAAUGUUUACAUGUAUUUCUAAUAGCAGUUUAUUAGUGUUCUCAUUUCUUUAUGUAAAGUUUAAAUUUAAU